UUAUUAUUAUUAUUAUUAUUUGAGCUUUAAGCUAAGACUGAGUAGCUCCAGGGGAAGUUUAGAAUUUCCUGCAUUACUUAGACUGGUUUUAUGGCUCAGAAUUGCCCCCUUCCUGUCGGCGUUUGCAGUUCCCCCCGCAGACACCAGCUGCGUCCUAUUUCCAUGUUGCAGCAGGUGUGUGCGUGGCGCCGGAGCAGACAGCCGGUGGGUAUUUUUAGCGCUCUCAGUUUUCUUUUGCCGAAGUCCUGCCGAGGUCUGCAGGCUGGCAGGGCCGAGCCUGUCCCUAAGGGAGGCGCCAGUCCCUCUGACGCUGAGGCAGCGGUGACAGCGAGCUGCAGUGAUCUGCCCCCUCCUCCCACCUCACCGCGCCCCUUCCGCUGUUUGCAGGUUGGCUUUAAAUAUUUCUGUCCUAAAGAGCUUGAAUUGUACCAGUCGAGGUAUGAAGUCGAGGCAGUCGAGCCAGUAUAACUGUACAGUCCGAUUCCGUGGUACCGGAGAGAAUGGUGGCUUACGAAUUCCAGAGUUGCGGAAUUUUUCCUUGGAGUCUGGUUUUAAAAAUGAGGACGCUUUUGGUUCAAAGAGGUUAAUGACUUGCCCCAGACCACAUGCCCUUCCAUUGGUGCCACCCGGAAUAAGUAGAGCCCAGCUGUCAGCUCCCCUGGCCCUCUGGUGGUGCUUUAUACCGUGCCCGCUGUCUUGCAGUGACUGCAUUUUCCCCCCCCCGGAUGCCUCUUGUUCGUGUUCUUCCGCUCAGCGUGUCCGUUAGUGGGAGGAGAGGCGUUUAUCAUAACCAUGGCGGUUGACGCUUACUUAGUACUUUCCACGGGCUGAACGUGGUGCUUAGUGUUCAUAAUCCCGUCUCCAGGGAGAAUUUGCAGGUGAGGGAGUGAAGCUUAAGAGAGGCCAAGUGACUGUCCAAGGUCAUACCACUAGUAAACGUGGUACCACAGGUCCUCCAAAAACGUCCUUUUGUUCGCUGUUGUUUCAUUAUUACAUUGAUGGGAUGUUGUAGGGACUUAACUCUUGUUUAUAUUAAUUAGUCUCUUGUAAAGUUGGUUUCAUUUUAUGUUGUUUCCCUUAAAGUCACAGAACCAAUUGACAAUGUUACGUGAGGACUUGCUCUGCAUGUUUGCCAGAGGGCCAGACCACGGUGUUCUUUUUAGUUUACUUUUUGCCACUAGUGUUUCGGACCCAUCUGUUGUCCUUGACCUUGGGAAUCAUCUUCCAUAGGUUCAUUAGAUAUUUUUUAAAAACCUAGGUUUGCUUAGUUAAUCCUCAGGGGACCUGAGAAACAGUCACUCAUCCACAAAGCAGCUCUUGAUCCAGGCGGAAGGUGGGUAGAGGAACUGAUUUGGACCUGGGCUCUCAUGUCCUCAGGUGACUGGAACAAGAACAUAUGUCCCCUUCAGAGCAGCUUUCCACCUCUGCUUGGGGCUGUGCUUCCAUCCUGGCAAAGGUCAGCAGAGGUCUCUCUGAGCAACAGGAGCCACGCCUGUCUCUGCUUUGACCCAGGCGGUCUGCUCCCCACCAUGCUCUGUGUCACCUUACUGAGGACGCUCAAGCCCCUCUCAACAGAGCUUGUUCUUUGCUGCUCGUGUGCCCCCUCCAUCAGAGAAGCCUUCCUGAGGUGGUCUGCUCCAGAAAACCCCACCAACCUGUUUCCUGUCUUCCACUGUAGACCAGCAAGCCUGACCGUCCAGCUGCUGCUGCUCAUGUGCUGGUCCAGGAUCUGCAUUGACCGGGAGUGACUCAUAGUCGGUCCAGCAUGAACUGGAAGGUUCUCGAUCAUGUGCCCCUGCUGCUAUAUAUCUUGGCAGCAAAGACAUUAAUUCUCUGCCUGGCAUUUGCCGGAGUCAAAAUAUACCAGAGGAAGAGAUUGGAAGCAAGACAACAACAGCUAGAAGCUGAAAAGAAGAAGCGGUCACAGAAGAAAGACAGCUAAAGGGAAGCCAGAGGCCUUUCUGACCACGGUCCUCAGGGAGCUGCAGGCGCUCGCCAAGCAGAAGCAGUUACUGUCACAGAUGCUCGCCUUUUAAAGAGAUGUUUCAUCCACCAGAACCCAGAGCAGGCGCUCCGUGGGGAGGAGGGAGCCCGUCCAAAUGAAAAGAUUUGCACUUGACCUCCGAGGACUCCAGCUGAGAAGAGAAGGAAUUCUUCACUGCUGAGGGACGUGCCAGAGGUUGAACUCAGCCUGAAGCUUUAACUAAAGUGAUGUGAACCAUUAGAUGCUUUUAAAGAACCCUCAUUUUCUCUAGUAAAUAAAAUACUUUUGUAAAAA